CGUCGGCGUCCGUGUCCGCGUCCAGAUUUUAGAUUAAAGUUUUGGUGCAGUUAAAUAUUUUUCACUAUAACUUUGUCAUUUCUUAAGGUAUCAACUUCAAACUUCAAAUAUAUGUUCCUUAUCAUCAACCACAUCUUAUGUGACAAGGUUCAUAACUCUAGCACCAAUAUUUUCAGAUUUAUCUCCCCUUGAACUUAGAAUUUUUCUCAAAAAAUACUAUUUCUUACUGUUUCUUCUUUAUUUCUUAAGGGAUCAACCUCAUACUUCAAAUAUAUUUACGUUAUCAUCAUCCCCAUCUUAUGUGACAAGGUUCAUAACUCUAGCACCAAUAUUUUUUGAUUUAUCUCCCUUUGAACUUAGAAUUUUCCAUAAAAAAUAUUAUUUUUUACUGUUACUUAUUUAUUUCUAAAGGGAUCAACUUCAUACUUCAAAUAUAUUUACGUUAUCAUCAUCCACAUCUUAUGUGACAAGGUUCAUAACUCUAGCACCAAUAUUGCAAGAAUUAUCUCUCCAUAAACUUAGAUUUUUUUACUAGAAAAAUGUUAU